rnacentral:rRNA from 1 species
UGGGGAAUAUUGCACAAUGGGCGCAAGCCUGAUGCAGCCAUGCCGCGUGUAUGAAGAAGGCCUUCGGGUUGUAAAGUACUUUCAGCGGGGAGGAAGGGAGUAAAGUUAAUAACUUUGCUCAUUGACGUUACCCGCAGAAGAAGCACCGGCUAACUCCGUGCCAGCAGCCGCGGUAAUACGGAGGGUGCAAGCGUUAAUCGGAAUUACUGGGCGUAAAGCGCACGCAGGCGGUUUGUUAAGUCAGAUGUGAAAUCCCCGGGCUCAACCUGGGAACUGCAUCUGAUACUGGCAAGCAUGAGUCUCGUAGAGGGGGGUAGAAUUCCAGGUGUAGCGGUGAAAUGCGUAGGGAUCUGGAAGAAUACCGGUGGCGAGGGCGGCCCCCUGGACGAGGACUGACGCUCAGGUGCGAAAGCGUGGGGAGCAAACAGG